UGGGAAGAAUAAGCAGGGGUUAAUACCCCCUACGAUGACGGUACCAUUUGUAAGCUCCGGCUAACUCCGUGCCAGCAGCCGCGGUAAUACGGGGGGAGCAAGCGUUGUUCGGAUUUACUGGGCGUAAAGGGCGCGUAGGCGGCCACGACAAGUCACUUGUGAAAUCUCCGGGCUUAACUCGGAACGGUCAAGUGAUACUGUCGGGCUAGAGUGCAGAAGGGGCAACUGGAAUUCUCGGUGUAGCGGUGAAAUGCGUAGAUAUCGAGAGGAACACCUGCGGCGAAGGCGGGUUGCUGGGCUGACACUGACGCUGAGGCGCGAAAGCCAGGGGAGCGAACGGGAUUAGAUACCCCGGUAGUCCUGGCCUUAAACGAUGAAUGCUUGGUGUCUCGGGUUUUAAAGUCCCGGGGUGCCGUCGCUAACGCUUUUAGCAUUCCGCCUGGGGAGUACGGUCGCAAGACUGAAACUCAAAGGAAUUGACGGGGACCCGCACAAGCGGUGGAGCAUGUGGUUUAAUUCGACGCAACGCGAAGAACCUUACCUGGGCUAGAAUGCCUCUGACCGGCGUGGAGACACGCCUUCCUGGGUAAAACCANGCAGAGUGCAAGGUGCUGCAUGGC
rnacentral:rRNA from 1 species